GGUUAAGCGACUAAGCGUACACGGUGGAUGCCCUGGCAGUCAGAGGCGAUGAAGGACGUGCUAAUCUGCGAAAAGCGUCGGUAAGGUGAUAUGAACCGUUAUAACCGGCGAUGUCCGAAUGGGGAAACCCAGUGCAAUUCGUUGCACUAUCGUUAACUGAAUACAUAGGUUAACGAGGCGAACCGGGGGAACUGAAACAUCUAAGUACCCCGAGGAAAAGAAAUCAACCGAGAUUCCCCCAGUAGCGGCGAGCGAACGGGGAGCAGCCCAGAGUCUGAAUCAGCUUGUGUGUUAGUGGAACGGUCUGGAAAGUCCGACGGUACAGGGUGAUAGUCCCGUACACCAAAAUGCACAGGUUGUGAACUCGAAGAGUAGGGCGGGACACGUGGUAUCCUGUCUGAAUAUGGGGGGACCAUCCUCCAAGGCUAAAUACUCCUGACUGACCGAUAGUGAACCAGUACCGUGAGGGAAAGGCGAAAAGAACCCCGGCGAGGGGAGUGAAAAAGAACCUGAAACCGUGUACGUACAAGCAGUGGGAGCACCUUCGGGUGUGACUGCGUACCUUUUGUAUAAUGGGUCAGCGACUUAUAUUCUGUAGCAAGGUUAACCGUAUAGGGGAGCCGCAGGGAAACCGAGUCUUAACUGGGCGUUAAGUUGCAGGGUAUAGACCCGAAACCCGGUGAUCUAGCCAUGGGCAGGUUGAAGGUUGGGUAACACUAACUGGAGGACCGAACCGACUAAUGUUGAAAAAUUAGCGGAUGACUUGUGGCUGGGGGUGAAAGGCCAAUCAAACCGGGAGAUAGCUGGUUCUCCCCGAAAGCUAUUUAGGUAGCGCCUCGUGAAUUCAUCUUCGGGGUAGAGCACUGUUUCGGCUAGGGGGUCAUCCCGACUUACCAACCCGAUGCAAACUACGAAUACCGAAGAAUGUUAUCACGGGAGACACACGGCGGGUGCUAACGUCCGUCGUGAAGAGGGAAACAACCCAGACCGCCAGCUAAGGUCCCAAAGUCAUGGUUAAGUGGGAAACGAUGUGGGAAGGCACAGACAGCCAGGAUGUUGGCUUAGAAGCAGCCAUCAUUUAAAGAAAGCGUAAUAGCUCACUGGUCGAGUCGGCCUGCGCGGAAGAUGUAACGGGGCUAAACCAUGCACCGAAGCUGCGGCAGCGACACUAUGUGUUGUUGGGUAGGGGAGCGUUCUGUAAGCCUGCGAAGGUGUGCUGUGAGGCAUGCUGGAGGUAUCAGAAGUGCGAAUGCUGACAUAAGUAACGAUAAAGCGGGUGAAAAGCCCGCUCGCCGGAAGACCAAGGGUUCCUGUCCAACGUUAAUCGGGGCAGGGUGAGUCGACCCCUAAGGCGAGGCCGAAAGGCGUAGUCGAUGGGAAACAGGUUAAUAUUCCUGUACUUGGUGUUACUGCGAAGGGGGGACGGAGAAGGCUAUGUUAGCCGGGCGACGGUUGUCCCGGUUUAAGCAUGUAGGCUGAUUAUCCAGGCAAAUCCGGAUAAUCAAGGCUGAGGUGUGAUGACGAGGCACUACGGUGCUGAAGUAACAAAUGCCCUGCUUCCAGGAAAAGCCUCUAAGCAUCAGGUAACAUCAAAUCGUACCCCAAACCGACACAGGUGGUCAGGUAGAGAAUACCAAGGCGCUUGAGAGAACUCGGGUGAAGGAACUAGGCAAAAUGGUGCCGUAACUUCGGGAGAAGGCACGCUGGUGUGUAGGUGAAGCCCCUGCGGGUGGAGCUGAGACCAGUCGAAGAUACCAGCUGGCUGCAACUGUUUAUUAAAAACACAGCACUGUGCAAACACGAAAGUGGACGUAUACGGUGUGACGCCUGCCCGGUGCCGGAAGGUUAAUUGAUGGGGUUAUCCGUAAGGAGAAGCUCUUGAUCGAAGCCCCGGUAAACGGCGGCCGUAACUAUAACGGUCCUAAGGUAGCGAAAUUCCUUGUCGGGUAAGUUCCGACCUGCACGAAUGGCGUAAUGAUGGCCAGGCUGUCUCCACCCGAGACUCAGUGAAAUUGAACUCGCUGUGAAGAUGCAGUGUACCCGCGGCAAGACGGAAAGACCCCGUGAACCUUUACUAUAGCUUGACACUGAACAUUGAGCCUUGAUGUGUAGGAUAGGUGGGAGGCUUUGAAGCGUGGACGCCAGUCUGCGUGGAGCCAACCUUGAAAUACCACCCUUUAAUGUUUGAUGUUCUAACGUUGGCCCCUGACCGGGGUUGCGGACAGUGUCUGGUGGGUAGUUUGACUGGGGCGGUCUCCUCCCAAAGCGUAACGGAGGAGCACGAAGGUUAGCUAAUCCUGGUCGGACAUCAGGAGGUUAGUGCAAUGGCAUAAGCUAGCUUGACUGCGAGCGUGACGGCGCGAGCAGGUGCGAAAGCAGGUCAUAGUGAUCCGGUGGUUCUGAAUGGAAGGGCCAUCGCUCAACGGAUAAAAGGUACUCCGGGGAUAACAGGCUGAUACCGCCCAAGAGUUCAUAUCGACGGCGGUGUUUGGCACCUCGAUGUCGGCUCAUCACAUCCUGGGGCUGAAGUAGGUCCCAAGGGUAUGGCUGUUCGCCAUUUAAAGUGGUACGCGAGCUGGGUUUAGAACGUCGUGAGACAGUUCGGUCCCUAUCUGCCGUGGGCGCUGGAGAAUUGAGGGGGCUGCUCCUAGUACGAGAGGACCGGAGUGGACGCAUCACUGGUGUUCGGGUUGUCAUGCCAAUGGCACUGCCCGGUAGCUAAAUGCGGAAGAGAUAAGUGCUGAAAGCAUCUAAGCACGAAACUUGCCCCGAGAUGAGUUCUCCCUGAGACUUUAAGUCUCCUGAAGGAACGUUGAAGACGACGACGUUGAUAGGCCGGGUGUGUAAGCGCAGCGAUGCGUUGAGCUAACCGGUACUAAUGAACCGUGAGGCUUAACCUU
rnacentral:rRNA from 1 species